GACGAACGCUGGCGGCGUGCUUAACACAUGCAAGUCGAACGGUGAAGGGGUCUGCUUUUGUGGGCCCUGGAUGAGUGGCGAACGGGUGAGUAACACGUGAGUAACCUGCCCCCUUCUUCUGGAUAACCGCAUGAAAGUGUGGCUAAUACGGGAUAUUCUGGGUCUGUCGCAUGAUGGGUCUGGGAAAGAUUGCGCCUUCGGGUGUUUUUGGUGGGGGAUGGGCUCGCGGCCUAUCAGCUUGUUGGUGGGGUGAUGGCCUACCAAGGCGGUGACGGGUAGCCGGCCUGAGAGGGUGGACGGUCACACUGGGACUGAGACACGGCCCAGACUCCUACGGGAGGCAGCAGUGGGGAAUAUUGCACAAUGGGCGCAAGCCUGAUGCAGCGACGCCGCGUGAGGGAGGGAGGCCUUCGGGUUGUAAACCUCUUUCGCCAGUGAAGCAGGCCUGCUCCGUGUGGGUGGGUUGACGGUAGCUGGAUAAGAAGCGCCGGCUAACUACGUG
rnacentral:rRNA from 1 species